GGUUGUUCAUAUUCUAUAAAGGUUCUCUGAUAUCUAUGUUAUAGAACCACCAUAGAGUGAAAACUAGCCUAACACAAGGUAGGUUUUUUAAAUGCUUUGUUGGUUAAAUCCAACACACUAAUACGCUCAAGGGCAAGUUUCUUCGUUUUCAGAAAACAAAGCUUCUGGGACAUUUCUAGAUAGAAGAAGUAAAAAACAGAAUUAAACUCUUUCCAGCCAGUGCCGAGUGAUGGGCAUCUCUCGGGACAACUGGCACAAGCGCCACAAGAAGCCGAAGUAGGAGUUGGGGCGCCCGGCUGCCAACACCAAGAUUGGUCCCCGCCGCAUCCACACAGUCUGCGUGCGGGGCAGUAACAAGAAAUACCGUGCCCUGAGGCUGGACGUGGGAAAUUUCUCCUGGGGCUCAGAGUGUUGUACUCGAAAAACAAGGGUCAUUGAUGUUGUCUAUAAUGCGUCUAAUAAUGAGCUGGUCCGUACCAAGACCCUGGUGAAGAAUUGCAUCGUGCUCAUUGACAGCACGCCGUACUGACAGUGGUACCAGUCCCACUACGCGCUGCCCCUGGGCUGCAAGAAGGGAGCCAAACUGACUCCUGAGGAAGAAGAGAUUUUAAACAAAAAACGAUUUAGAAAAAUUCAGAAGAAAUACGACGAAAGGAAAAAGAAUGCCAAAAUCAGCAGUCUACUGGAGGAGCAGUUCCAGCAGGGCAAGCUUCUUGCAUGCAAAGCUUCAAGGCUGGGACAGUGUGGCCGAGCAGAUGGCUAUGUGCUAGAGGGCAAAGAGUUGGAGUUCUAUCUUAGGAAAAUCAAGGCCCGGAAAGGCAAAUAAAUCCUUGUUUUCUCCACCCAUGUAAUAAAGGUGUUUAUUGUUCUGUUAAAAAAAAGAAAAAA